rnacentral:rRNA from 1 species
AUUGAACGCUGGCGGCAUGCUUUACACAUGCAAGUCGAACGGCAGCGCGGGCUUCGGCCUGGCGGCGAGUGGCGAACGGGUGAGUAAUACAUCGGAACGUGCCCAGUAGUGGGGGAUAGCUCGGCGAAAGCCGAAUUAAUACCGCAUACGACCUGAGGGUGAAAGCGGGGGAUCUUCGGACCUCGCGCUAUUGGAGCGGCCGAUGGCAGAUUAGCUAGUUGGUGGGGUAAAGGCCUACCAAGGCGACGAUCUGUAGCUGGUCUGAGAGGACGACCAGCCACACUGGGACUGAGACACGGCCCAGACUCCUACGGGAGGCAGCAGUGGGGAAUUUUGGACAAUGGGCGAAAGCCUGAUCCAGCAAUGCCGCGUGUGUGAUGAAGGCCUUCGGGUUGUAAAGCACUUUUGGCGGGAACGAAAAGGACUGUGCCAAUACCACGGUUCGAUGACGGUACCCGCAGAAUAAGCACCGGCUAACUACGUG